UACUACUCGGCUUGGGGGAAGGUAAAAAGGAUCGAGUCCAGCACGACCGUCCAAGUCACAGAAGCGUCUUUUGGAGGAGUGGAAGCGCGAGACGAGUGUUUGAGUCAGCUGCUGCAGGGCACGAGCACAGCUUGAAAAGAAGCGUUGUCUUUUUCCAUGGAGGACGAUGGACAGUCACCAGUACAACUAGAUGAUAGUUCAUUGUUUUAUAUAUUAAAUUGCAUAAUAAUUUCAUGCAAAUGAAGAAUUUCGUUGCAUGCAUUAAAAGUUGCAGACAAGGGAAGAGAGAUUUGUACAUCAGUCUCGAGGCGCCCUCAUGUGGUUGAGCAAGGAUGUUAUUUGAACUUUUCUUUUCAUUACACUUUUUAGUGAUAUUUACCUCUUGAUUUGCUCUCUGUUUUUAAAGAGAUGGAACCAUAUUACCUUCUGUGCAUGACUAUGGCUGAAAAGGUAGAGGCAGUCGUAUUAUCUGUUGAGCCCUGGACUUCAACACCCCCUCAUACCAGCAGAACGCCCACAUUUCCAUCCUAUACAAGUUCAUGGCCGCUUUUGGCUGGACUACCUAAAUGCUCUGAUGGCUAUGGAUGGAGCGAGGGCAGGCCGGCCCUCAGGACAAUCCUCCCACAUGGCGACGUGGCAAUCAGCAUCAACCUCUGCCUUUUUCACCCCAAAGGGAAAACUAGGGAAUCUCCCUGUCUCCUUUUGCUCUUACUCAGGAGUGAUGUCACUGAGAAGUACAAUACACCCUUGUAUCCUUUAAGUCUCUUGGCACUUUGAUUGCAUGACUUAGGCAUGUCAGAAUAUCAUUUUAGCCCCCCCCCCCAUGACUUUAUAGCUGCAACAAACGAUUUUACUCUUUUUACCACUUCCUAAUUUCCUCCUGCUCUAUUUGCCAUUUUUGAGAAUUUGACACUAACAGGAAUUUUUUUCAGGCAAUAAAGUGCCCCCCACCCCCCAAUUUCUUUUCACGAGCCAUAUUCCUUAUUCCCCAAGUGUAAUUUAGCACUGA